CAUAAUAUAUUAAAUUAAAACAAAAACAUCAAAACAAUUAAAAUAUUAUAAAAAUUAAUUUUAAUUAAAUAAGAUUUGAAGUGAGCUUGCGUUGUCUCAAAUUUGUCAGCCGGGCUGGGCCGGCCUGGCCCGGCAAUCUCUACCCGAUAAUCUCGCAAUGGCAAACGGUAAGGUCUAGGGUUUUGAACCAGUGAGCAAUGCCCCUGGUCCUAGGGUUUUUCGAGCCCAGACUCUGGCCGGAAUCGACCCGAGUUCGAAGCUUGGCUUGUACGAUUCGGAUCAAAGACGAAGACUGCACGCGAGUCUCCGCCGGUUCAUCGGAGCCGGGGCCCGUCUCGGCUCCGAAGCCUUGAUGUGUUUCUCGCCUUUGAUAAAGACAUCAAUGCAACAUGAACAAGCAGGGACUUCGAGAACAUGGAUAUGGGACUCGGACAGAUUAUAAUUUGGGAGGGGUAGGAAACUGUGCUGUUUGUUCCGUAAUGGUACUUUCUAUUUAUGUUACAGUAAUCGAAUUUUAUUAACAUUCAGUUUCUUCAUUUGCUUGUGUUGUGUCCUUGCUUUGGCUGUCAACACUCUACAUUAUGUGAUGAGCAUGUCCAUUGCUGCCAAAGUGGGGAGAGAAGGCAAGGGAGACUGACCUUGAAAGUUUUCUCGGCUUUCAUCAAGCCCUAGAAAGAAAAGAUGCUCCAGAGGGAUUACCUUCUUUGUUUCAGUGUCUUGAUCUCCAACGAAGAGGAUUUGUCACAAACCACUGAUUUUAUAACACACUUUUCUGCUGAAAACUCCUUCCUCCGUGUACUACUUAUGUUUUCAGAGAGAAUUUUCUUUUUUGUUUCCCUGUUAUCUUCCCUGCUUAAAUCGGUUGCUUGAAAGAAUUUCAAAAUACCCUUGUUGACCAAGCAGAAUGAAAUUGUUGAAUGGAAGAAAAGAAGGGGAGCAUCCACAAAUUGAGAUGUUGCCUGAUACAAACUUCCUACAGAAACCUCUGUAGUUUCCUGCUUGUGGUACUUGAGUAGGUUCCUCAAGUCUCAAAUUACAGAUACAUGAACCAAAAUAAAAUUUUAGAAAUGCAAAGCUACUUGCUCACGAACACUUUCUACAAUCCCAUUUCAUUCCCACAUUAGCUGACAUAAUUUUCUUCUUUUCAGAUCUGGAACAGAUACGGCCAUCAGAUGUAAACUGCGGGAUUCAACUAUGAACUCGUUACCCAGGUUGUAAUAAAUGAAGAUUGGAAUAUGGUGAAGCCAGCUGACUUCCUGAGGGUCAUCCUGGCAUGCAAACAGCUUGGAACUCUUUGCCAGCAUGCUGCUUAUCAAAAAAGCGACGGUUGCUCGCAAGGUGAAGGCAGCCUCGCCUCUUGCACACUGACCGCCGCUGUGGAUGUAGCGACGGUUGCUCACAAGGUGAAGGCGGCGGCAGCAGCAGCAGCAGCAGCGACGGGCGGUUGCUGGAGGUGGUCAUGGGAAGUGGGGAGAGAGGCAGCGACUAUGGGGUCACUAGGUGAGGGGGGAGAGAGGAGAGAGAGAAAGAACAGGGAAUGGGCUUUUAUAAUUUUGCAAUUUAAGUGAGGGUAUUUUUAUCAUUUGAGCUGUUUUUUGUAGCCCAAAGAGUACAAAUAGUAUUUUAAAAAAAAAAAAGAAUAGCGAGAUGAAGAACAACAUAUGCAUGGAAUUGAUGAAAGCCUCUUCAGUGACCAAGGAUCUGUGACUUGCGAACUGAGCCAGCUGCGUCAAUCUUGCUUGUUAAAUCUGUAAAAUACUGGUAGUGGGAGUGCUAGAUUGGAAUUAUGAGCACAAAUGUUGUAGUAUUUUUUAAACCAUGAUAGUACAGCCUGAGGCUACGAUUGACAAUCUUUUGAAAUCCUGUACCCGAUGAUUAAAAAUGAAUAGAAUGUAACUGAAGAAUGGGUUCCCUCCCCUUAUUUUAACAUGGGUGCCCUUUGUUGCAUUAAUUUUAUAUGUGCGAGAAUACAGACAA